rnacentral:lncRNA from 1 species
AACUGGUCUAACUACCAAAACUCACAUGCCCUCGGCACAAACUGAUACAAAACCCACAAUCUGGGUCCACCGUCAACCCCGACGGCACCCGACAGUCUGAAACAGCUUAGACACUACUGUAAAAAUAAGCUCUGCAUCUCCGCACGAGCGUAACUGCAUUCUACACUAUUCCGGAUAUCUACCGCCAACAAACUGCGGUGAUACAGAUCUACUACAGCUCCUAAGCUUUCAGCGUAUCAAAUGCACACAACAGU